CCACCCUGUCUCUCCUAGUUUG
rnacentral:misc_RNA from 1 species